rnacentral:rRNA from 1 species
AGUAGGGCUACACACGUGCUACAAUGGCGCAUACAGAGGGCAGCCAACUUGCGAAAGUGAGCGAAUCCCAAAAAGUGCGUCGUAGUCCGGAUUGGAGUCUGCAACUCGACUCCAUGAAGUCGGAAUCGCUAGUAAUCGUGGAUCAGAAUGCCACGGUGAAUACGUUCCCGGGCCUUGUACACACCGCCCGUCACACCAUGGGAGUGGGCUGCAAAAGAAGUAGGUAGUUUAACCUUCGGGGGGACGCUUACCACUUUGUGGUUCAUGACUGGGGUGAAGUCGUAACAAGGUAGCGCUAGGGGAACCUGGCGCUGGAUCACCUCCUUA